UAUGGCACGGAAUCGUUGAAACCUGAUUCGUAAUUGAGUACACAAGUAAAACUUUCACGUCAUAAGUAUUCCUGCUGGAUGCAUCAAGCGCACAAGUGUAUCAGCCUUCACGACGAGAGACACGGUCGCAAUUAACAGCAGUCUAAAAAGAAUAAUUCGAGGUGAUUUCUACGAAACGCGGCUAACCGCGUUACCGCUAGUGAAUCAACUUUGAAGUAAAGGUACCGUUCGAUAAACACUGCCGUCCUUGCUUGAGAAAGAGAAAAACAGAAGCCGUGUGUGUUACCUACGCAGAGAUAAUGCUGGCGAGGGAGAUAAGAAAGAGAGCGGCAUCGAACGAGACCUUCCUGUUUCGCCGGGGUGCGAGGAAAGAAGGAGUUGAUAUGGCGCGAAGAUCGUGCAGAAAGGGAAGUUAUAUACGGUACGCUUCGCUGUAUCUUGGACCAACCAUGGGACGAUGAUGACAGCAGGUCUGGCGGGUGGCAGGCCAAUAAAUCAUGGCUUACAGUGUGGGAACCUCUGGCUAUAUGCUACUCUCUGCGUGUAUGGGUCUUGAGAGAGGGCAAUUGGACGGUCGUAAAGGGCUGAGAUAAGACCCGCGGACGAUGUACGUACUUACGUAAGUAUACAUGUGUUGUCCACGUUACCUUCACUCUCUACCGGGCUCUCGCAUAAAUUUCAAUCGAACGCAUCCCUGUACUCUUUUAUUUUCUUUUCGCCGAUUCGAUGCUAAAUAAAAACGCGAAAAAAUACGUUCCCACGAGCGGUUAGACCGGACGUUAUCCGUAUGUCACGAUCCCGG
rnacentral:misc_RNA from 1 species